rnacentral:rRNA from 1 species
GUUUUUAGUACGAGAGGACCGAAACGGACGUACCACUGGUGUUCCAGUUGUUCCGCCAGGAGCAUAGCUGGGUAGCUAAGUACGGAAAGGAUAACCGCUGAAAGCAUCUAAGUGGGAAGCCUCCUCAAAGAUUAGUAUUCCCUUGAGAUUCCUUGUAGACUACGAGGUUGAUAGGCUGGAUGUGUAAGCAUAGCGAUAUGUUGAGCUGACCAGUACUAAUAAAUCAAUAGGUUUAAAAGU